ACGAUGAACCUCCUCCGGGAGGGGAAGAGUGGCGAACGGGUGAGUAACACGUGGGCAAUCUGCCCUGCACUCUGGGAUAACUCCGGGAAACCGGAGCUAAUACCGGAUACGACUCUCCAGGGCAUCCUGGAGGGUGGAAAGCUCCGGCGGUGCAGGAUGAGCCCGCGGCCUAUCAGCUGGUUGGUGGGGUGACGGCCCACCAAGGCGACGACGGGUAGCCGGCCUGAGAGGGCGACCGGCCACACUGGGACUGAGACACGGCCCAGACUCCUACGGGAGGCAGCAGUGGGGAAUAUUGCACAAUGGGCGCAAGCCUGAUGCAGCGACGCCGCGUGAGGGAUGACGGCCUUCGGGUUGUAAACCUCUUUCAGCAGGGAAGAAGCGCAAGUGACGGUACCUGCAGAAGAAGCACCGGCUAACUACGUGCCAGCAGCCGCGGUAAUACGUAGGGUGCGAGCGUUGUCCGGAAUUAUUGGGCGUAAAGAGCUCGUAGGCGGCCUGUCGCGUCGGAUGUGAAAGCCCGGGGCUUAACCCCGGGUCUGCAUUCGAUACGGGCAGGCUAGAGUUCGGUAGGGGAGAUCGGAAUUCCUGGUGUAGCGGUGAAAUGCGCAGAUAUCAGGAGGAACACCGGUGGCGAAGGCGGAUCUCUGGGCCGAUACUGACGCUGAGGAGCGAAAGCGUGGGGAGCGAACAGGAUUAGAUACCCUGGUAGUCCACGCC
rnacentral:rRNA from 1 species